rnacentral:rRNA from 1 species
UCCGUAGGCGGGAAUCUAAGUCAGUGGUGAAAUCUUACAGCUCAACUGUAAAAUUGCCAUUGAUACUGGAUUUCUUGAAUUAGUGUGAAGUGGUUAGAAUGUGUAGUGUAGCGGUGAAAUGCAUAGAUAUUACACAGAAUACCAAUUGCGAAGGCAGAUCACUAACACUAUAUUGACGCUGAGGGACGAAAGCGUGGGUAGCGAACAGGAUUAGAUACCCUGGUAGUCC